AGCCUAGGUCGGAUUAGCUAGUUGGUGAGGUAAUGGCUCACCAAGGCGACGAUCCGCAACUGGUCUGAGAGGAUGAUCAGUCACACUGGAACUGAGACACGGUCCAGACUCCUACGGGAGGCAGCAGUGGGGAAUAUUGGACAAUGGGCGAAAGCCUGAUCCAGCCAUGCCGCGUGUGUGAAGAAGGUCUUCGGAUUAUAAAGCACUUUAAGUUGGGAGGAAGGGCAUUUACUUAAUACGGGAAGAAAAUGACUGUACCCGAAUAAGAAGGCCCG
rnacentral:rRNA from 1 species